GCACUGGCGGCGCGUGCCCACGCUUGCCCCCCAUUGUUACCCCACGUUUGACCUCGGAUCAGGUAGGGAUACCCGCUGAACUUAAGCAUAUCAAUAAGCGGAGGAAAAGAAACCAACAGGGAUUGCCCUAGUAACGGCGAGUGAAGCGGCAGCAGCUCAAAUUUGAAAUCUGGUCUCCCCACGGGAACCCGAGUUGUAAUUUGAAGAGGAUGCUUCGGGUGCGGCCGCGGUCCAAGUGCCCUGGAACAGGACGUCGCAGAGGGUGAGAGCCCCGUCUUUGAUCGCCGGCACGCGCCCGUGUGAAGCUCCUUCGACGAGUCGAGUUGUUUGGGAAUGCAGCUCUAAAUGGGUGGUAAAUUUCAUCUAAAGCUAAAUACUGGCUGGAGACCGAUAGCGCACAAGUAGAGUGAUCGAAAGGUUAAAAGCACCUUGAAAAGGGAGUUAAACAGCACGUGAAAUUGUUGAAAGGGAAGCGCUUGCGGCCAGACUCGGCCGCGCGGGCUCAGUGGGUAGUCGUACCCACGCACUCCCGCGCGCGUCGGGCCAGCAUCAGUUUCGGCGGCCGGUCAAAGGCCCCUGGAAGGUACCGCCCCCCGGGGCGCCUUACAGCCAGGGGUGCAAUGCGGCCAGCCGGGACUGAGGAUCGC
rnacentral:rRNA from 1 species